CAGCAGUGUAUCAAGGCUGGAUGUAGCUGGAGCACAAAUGGCUGUUCCUGGUCGACUGCAGGAGUUAUGAGUGACAGUUUAGGCCAAAUAAUGGAGACCGAGACGAACUUUUCUAGGCCAGUGAUCUCCUCCAUCACCCCCAGUGUCGUGUCUUUCUACGGCAGAAACCAUGCAGUGUUGUCAGGUCAGAACCUCAGAGAUGUGACCA